GGUGGUGCAUGGUUGUCGUCAGCUCGUGUCGUGAGAUGUUGGGUUAAGUCCCGCAACGAGCGCAACCCUCGUCCUAUGUUGCCAGCGGGUCAUGCCGGGACUCAUGGGAGACUGCCGGGGUCAACUCGGAGGAAGGUGGGAUGACGUCAAAUCAUCAUGCCCCCUUAUGUCUUGGGCUUCACGCAUGCUACAAUGGCCGGUACAAAGGGCUGCGAUACCGCGAGGUGGAGCGAAUCCCAGAAAGCCGGUCUCAGUUCGGAUUGGGUCUGCAACUCCGACCCCAUGAAGUCGGAGUCGCUAGUAAUCGCAGAUCAGCAACGCUGCGGUGAAUUACCGGUUCCCGGGCCUU
rnacentral:rRNA from 1 species